ACACGAUAAACAUAAUGCUGUAGCUAAACCAAGAAGUUAAAAGUUCAAGACGGAUGCAUAUUGUUCUAAAAAAUGCUGAUUGUGUGCUCUACCACCAUAUUUUCGAUAAGAGUCCAGCAAGGGCUAACUUAUUGUGAGAAUUAGGUGACAUAUUGCAACUGUCAGCAACUAAUAACAUGCCAAAUGAAAUUGUGACAAGUGACACAAUGCAUUUAAAAUAAAGUGAAAUAUGUCACUGCAGAAUGUGCAUUAUACUAGUUUGUCCUUCUCCAUGUUUUUAAAGGCAUUAAUAGAAGAUUCAUCAAGGAAGAAAAAAGCAAUUCCAAGGGUAUCUACACUGUUUUUGUAAAUGCUGUUUCAAUUUACUUGAAAUCAUUCUAAAGCCAACAAGAAUCUUUAGAAAUUCUCAAGGUACUCUAAAAAAUAGCAAUGGCCACUAAAUUUACGAGGAUAUAAUUUGUGGAAGGAUUGAUUUUCAUCUAGUCAGGGAGAGUAAAACUAUCAGUAAGAUGAACAUGUCAUACUAGCAAUCAUGAACGUGGUAUGAAACCUCCUUUGACUUUGGUUAAGCAAAUUAAUACCAACCAAAAUAACCCUCAUUGGCGUUAUUAAGAAAACUAAUAUCUACCAAAAUGAAGCUAAAACAAUAUUAUCCCCAUCAUUAUUGUUUGGAAUUAAAAGAUCACCCAUUCGUUACACCUUUAGGAACUAUGUAGAGAACAAAGCAAGACUAAAUGAGGGAGCCAUAAAACCUUUCUUUCAUAGCCAAGGGCUAAAAAGCUACAGAGAAGGCACUAGAUAAUUUUAAGUCACAGGCAUUAACAGGGCUUACAAGAACCAUAAGGAUUAGUUUUCACACACUACCUGGGCACCAGAAAUUGACCAUUUCACCAAUGCAGUGGACUCAAAAAAUAUGUAUAAAACCAACAAAUAUUAUAUCAAGUUAGUGAUACAUGAAAUGGCAUAAUAAAACAGGCUCAAAGUCAAUGUAUGCAUAUUAGGAAGAAAACCACCCAUUAACCUUGCAGUGUUUGCACCAAAAGUUAUAUGCGACUACAUAACAUAUAUGUGAAUGCAAAUGGAGAAUUGCAAUAUAUAUGCGGCAGCUGCCACAGUAAUAACUUCAGCAAGGUCUAACCACAUAAAGAAAUAAAAUAGUAUCACGCACCAAUGUGAUUAUGAAGUGAGUAAAAAAAAUGCAGAAUAACAACUUUGUCUGGAUUAGACAUAAGAAAAAUAUGUAUCAUUGCCAUCUGUUCAGUACACAUUGCUUUUCAAUUGUAUCAAUGAGAAUGAAAGAAUUAAGAUAUCAUGUGCACCGCAUAGUUAUUGGAAAUAUGUACAGGAGGAAAAAGAAAAUUAUAUCUUAAUCACUCAGUUUUCUCACAUCGACAACCCACGAUGUAUGUUCUUUAUUCCUGGUCCUCUGCACUGCUAGCUAGCUCAUUUCUUAAUCUCGUCGGUAUGUGAAACUAUUCCAUGCAAAGCCUUAAAAAUUCACACCAUUACUAUGGAAACACCCAUCUUGGGAAUCAAUGCUACGAAAGAUUUUAAUUUUUCACUUUGUUAGUCCUCUCUAUUAUAAAUUGUUAUAGAUCAAUCGCAAGGCUGAACAAAAACAAUCAAAUCAAUUAGAAGAAGUCUUUCAACAUGACACUAACAAUGCAACAAAGAAUUCCAGUUCCUUCUUCUCUGUAUUGACACACUAGUACCCGUUUUAACACAAGGAUAUCUUAAAAAUAAUUCGCUACUCUACUUUCCUCAAUUUUUCCCAGCAGGGAAACAACAGAUUAACUAACAAGUUAAUUAAAAUAAAAAAAAUGAAAAAGCAACCACCAGUUCUAUGACAAACCCACAUAAUUUGCCCAAAGAAAUCCCUGAAUAACACACAACAAUACAAUCAAAGCUCUUAAUUCAUUAUUUACAUGCGUGAGAACAAAAGGAAGAAAGCAACUGAACAGGAAGCAGAAAGGAGACCAAUUUUUUUCUAAUUAUUUAUGACCCAGAAUAGAAAAAGACCUCCUUAUAAGUAGUUGGAGGGUCAUAAAACUGAAUAAAAACUCUCAGGUAACGGAGGUGAAAGAUCCACUAACAACUCAUGUUUUCUUCCCAGGACAGAGAUCUUGUUAGGAACCAUAUGAAAAAAAAUCAUAUUCCCAACAUUUAUACCAAUGAAAACAGAAGGGGAGCACACAGGUAAGAUCACCCCUUUCAAGAGACAGUAUAUUGAACCCACAGACUUGACACAGGUAAGAAACCUCAAAGUAAACAGAAGAAGUGAAAAUGGAUGACCGCAUACUUGAGAAAUAAGUACUACUCCUAAAAAUGGGUGUCUGCAGCAAGUUUACAUAAUAUGUGACACAUGUAACACAAAACAGAUACAUAUUCAAUACAAAACAAAACCUUGAUCAAAUUACAUAUGACAAAACUGAAAGGGCAAACAUAAAAUCUUCCUGGGUAAGGUGUACUAUUUACCUUCUUUUAGCAACACUUGUUAAUGAGCUAUGCAUUACUGUAAUAACAAGGCAUUAAGAAGAAAGGUUUAGGAAACAGAAUAUUAAGUCGUGCAUCUCACCUCAACUGGUGUCAUUAAUUCCAAAGGAUUAUCCCAAGUAGAUUGUCUGGUCCUGUUGUUGUAAUAAUAUCUCUAGAAAUUCAGAGGAAUCAUAUUCAACUAGUGUGAGAAACAAAAUAUAGAACACCUCCUAAAGAACACGAUAAACAUAAUGUUGUAGCAAAACCAAGAAGUAAAGUUCAAGAGGGAUGCAAAUUGUUCUAAGAAAUGCUGAUCACGUACUCUGCCACCAUAUUUUCGAUAAGAGUCCAACAUGGACUAACUUAUUGUGAGAAUUAGGUGACAUAUUGCAACUGUCAACAACUAAUAACAUGCCAAAUGAAAUUGUGAUAAGUGAC
rnacentral:lncRNA from 1 species